rnacentral:misc_RNA from 1 species
AAGUCGUAACAAGGUUUUCGUAGGUGAACCUGCGUAAGGAUCAUUAACGAGCAAGCCAAAUGCUUUUGGUAAGCUGUUUAAAUGUUCAAGUCCUUGAGACCAUGUGAUGGCUCAGGGCGGCUUCAUUUUGAAGUGACAACGGCUGCGACUGGCUUGGCUAGAGCUAACUGCAGUGAGUUGGCUUGGAGCAGGCUGCGCUGUUAGUGUUCCAGUGUUCAAGGCUGGGUGCCCAUUUCUGGCUAUUGCUAGGACUGUAUCCUCUGGAGAUACAGUGGGCUGCAAAGUUGGCGUUCACUGGCG